GGAUUGCCUCAGUAACGGCGAGUGAAGCGGCAGCAGCUCAAAUUUGAAAUCUGGCCCCUUCGGGGUUCGAGUUGUAAUUUGUAGAGGAUGCUUCGGCUUGGGCCCCGGGACAGGUCCCUUGGAACAGGGCGCCGUAGAGGGUGAGAGCCCCGUACCCGCCCGGGUGACCCUCGCCAUGUGAAGCCCCUUCGAAGAGUCGAGUUGUUUGGGAAUGCAGCUCUAAGCGGGAGGUAUAUUUCUUCUAAAGCUAAAUACCGGCCAGAGACCGAUAGCGCACAAGUAGAGUGAUCGAAAGAUGAAAAGCACUUUGGAAAGAGAGUUAAAAAGCACGUGAAAUUGUUGAAAGGGAAGCUCUUGCCGCCAGACUUGCCGCGGUUGCUCAGCCGUCCCCCUCGGUCGGUGCACUCUUCCGCGGCAGGCCAGCGUCAGUUCGGGCGGUCGGAUAAAGGCCCCGGGAAUGUAGCCCCCCUCGGGGGGUAUUAUAGCCCGGGGUGCAAUGCGGCCAGCCCGGUCUGAGGGACGCGUUCGCGAGGACGCUGGCGUAAUGGCCGCAAGCGACCCGUCUUGAAACACGGACCAAGGAGUCUAACAUCUGUGCGAGUGUUUGGGCGUCAAACCCACGCGCGUAAUGAAAGUGAACGGAGGUGGGACCCCCUCAAGGGGCGCACCAUCGACCGAUCCUGAUGUCCUCGGAUGGAUUUGAGUAAGAGCAUAGCUGUUGGGACCCGAAAGAUGGUGAACUAUACCUAAAUAGGGUGAAGCCAGAGGAAACUCUGGUGGAGGCUCGCAGCGGUUCUGACGUGCAAAUCGAUCGUCAAAUUCGGGUAUAGGUAAGUAGCGUCGUUACCCUUUCCACGAACGCUUUUCCCCUUUCAAGGACAGUUAUGCUAAUAAAUGGGAUUCUACAGGGGCGAAAGACUAAUCGAACCAUUCCUUUAAAAAAGGUUUUUGCUACUAGGUGGUUAAGAGAUAUGCAAGCCGCAGUGUAGGCAUGUCUAGCUCCCUACCCCACCCCGAUCCCGGGUGGGAGGGGGGAGGGGGCUACACGAUCACAUUGCGGGGACGCCCUCAGCACCUAUCGUUACCGCGGCCGGGCCGGGAGGCCCGACGCAGCACCAGGUCGUGAUGCCUGGGGACGGUAAGAAUACGUUUAGGUUUGGGCAACCCGCAGCUAGGGCCCCCAGAACGACGGGGGUCCAGCUCACAGACUAGAAGAUCGCGGGCGCCGUAAGGACCCACGGGCACCUGGCGUCUAAGGUAUAGUCGAAUUCCGUCCGUAACGGACGGUAGCAGGGGGGUAAAGGGUUUAUGGGGCCCUACGUCCCCCGGCAGGGAAAGCCUAGCUGCUAGUAGCUGGUUCCUGCCGAAGUUUCCCUCAGGAUAGCAGUGACGUCUCCAGUUUUAUGAGGUAAAGCGAAUGAUUAGAGGCCUUGGGGUUGAAACAACCUUAACCUAUUCUCAAACUUUAAAUAUGUAAGAAGCCCCUUGUUACUUGGACUGAACGUGGGCAUUCGAAUGUACCGUCACUAGUGGGCCAUUUUUGGUAAGCAGAACUGGCGAUGCGGGAUGAACCGAAAGCGGGAUUAAGGUGCCUGAAUGCACGCUUAUCAGACACCACAAAAGGUGUCGGUUGAUCUAGACAGCAGGACGGUGGCCAUGGAAGUCGGAACCCGCCAAGGAGUGUGUAACAACUCACCUGCCGAAUCAACCGGCCCUGAAAAUGGAUGGCGCUCAAGCGUGCUACCUAAAUCCCGCCGCCGGGGCAGAAGCGAAGCCCCGGCGAGUAGGCAGGCGUGGGGGUCCGUGACGAAGCCUCGGGGGUGACCCCGGGUAGAACGGCCCCUAGUG
rnacentral:rRNA from 1 species